rnacentral:misc_RNA from 1 species
AGUCGUAACAAGGUUUCCGUAGGUGAACCUGCGGAAGGAUCAUUACCGAGUGCGGGUCUUUAUGGCCCAACCUCCCACCCGUGACUAUUGUACCUUGUUGCUUCGGCGGGCCCGCCAGCGUUGCUGGCCGCCGGGGGGCGACUCGCCCCCGGGCCCGUGCCCGCCGGAGACCCCAACAUGAACCCUGUUCUGAAAGCUUGCAGUCUGAGUGUGAUUCUUUGCAAUCAGUUAAAACUUUCAACAAUGGAUCUCUUGGUUCCGGCAUCGAUGAAGAACGCAGCGAAAUGCGAUAACUAAUGUGAAUUGCAGAAUUCAGUGAAUCAUCGAGUCUUUGAACGCACAUUGCGCCCCCUGGUAUUCCGGGGGGCAUGCCUGUCCGAGCGUCAUUGCUGCCCUCAAGCCCGGCUUGUGUGUUGGGCCCUCGUCCCCCGGCUCCCGGGGGACGGGCCCGAAAGGCAGCGGCGGCACCGCGUCCGGUCCUCGAGCGUAUGGGGCUUCGUCUUCCGCUCCGUAGGCCCGGCCGGCGCCCGCCGACGCAUUUAUUUGCAACUUGUUUUUUUCCAGGUUGACCUCGGAUCAGGUAGGGAUACCCGCUGAACUUAAGCAUAUCAAUAAGCGGAGGAA